GACGAACGCUGGCGGCGUGCUUAACACAUGCAAGUCGAACGGAAAGGCCCUGCUUUUGUGGGGUGCUCGAGUGGCGAACGGGUGAGUAACACGUGAGUAACCUGCCCUUGACUUUGGGAUAACUUCAGGAAACUGGGGCUAAUACCGUAUAGGAGCUCCUGCUGCAUGGUGGGGGUUGGAAAGUUUCGGCGGUUGGGGAUGGACUCGCGGCUUAUCAGCUUGUUGGUGGGGUAGUGGCUUACCAAGGCUUUGACGGGUAGCCGGCCUGAGAGGGUGACCGGCCACAUUGGGACUGAGAUACGGCCCAGACUCCUAAGGGAGGCAGCAGUGGGGAAUAUUGCACAAUGGGCGGAAGCCUGAUGCAGCAACGCCGCGUGCGGGAUGACGGCCUUCGGGUUGUAAACCGCUUUCGCCUGUGACGAAGCGUGAGUGACGGUAAUGGGUAAAGAAGCAACGGCUAACUACGUG
rnacentral:rRNA from 1 species